rnacentral:rRNA from 1 species
AGUCCAUGCGUAAACGAUGAGUGCUAAGUGUGGAGGGUUUCCGCCUUCAGUGCUGCAGCUAACGCAUUAAGCACUCCGCUGGGGAGUACGACCGCAAGGUUGAAACUCAAAGGAAUUGACGGGGGCCCGCACAAGCGGUGGAGCAUGUGGCUUAAUUCGAAGCUACGCGAAGAACCUUACCAGGUCUUGACAUCUUCUGCCAAUCUUAGAGAUAAGACGUUCCCUUCGGGGACAGAAUGACAGGUGGUGCAUGGUUGUCGUCAGCUCGUGUCGUGAGAUGUUGGGUUAAGUCCCGCAACGAGCGCAACCCUUAUUAUCAGUUGCCAGCAUUCAGUUGGGCACUCUGGUGAGACUGCCGGUGACAAACCGGAGGAAGGUGGGGAUGACGUCAAAUCAUCAUGCCCCUUAUGACCUGGGCUACACACGUGCUACAAUGGACGGUACAACGAGUCGCGAAGUCGUGAGGCUAAGCUAAUCUCUUAAAGCCGUUCUCAGUUCGGAUUGUAGGCUGCAACUCGCCUACAUGAAGUUGGAAUCGCUAGUAAUCGCGGAUCAGCAUGCCGCGGUGAAUACGUUCCCGGGCCUUGUACACACCGCCCGUCACACCAUGAGAGUUUGUAACACCCAAAGCCGGUGAGAUAACCUUCGGGAGUCAGCCGUCUAAGGUGGGACAGAUGAUUAGGGUGAAGUCGUAACAAGGUAACCA